UUGCUAUGCCACAGGAAAACAUUUCUA
rnacentral:piRNA from 1 species